CAUAGCCUGCCGUUAAGGGUCUCAUAUACUCCAAUAUUGUACACGUAUUAUAAUUGUCGUAUUGUGAUGGAAUAUGUACUCAAAUCGCCACAAAAUGCGACAUGAACAGUGAGCUAUGAUAAAUCACUUUUAUCGCACGAAACGAGCAAAUAACGAAAGGUUUAGGGAAAAAGGCCAGGUACAGAAAAGUUUUACGGCAGCAUCUUGAACAUAUUAUAGUCAUCUAUUGACUUAUUGAUAAAAUAGCAGUAUUGAGACUUGAAGAAUGGCGGUCUUUCACAAUAAGACAAAACAGUCACUUUCAGUUAAUUGGUUCAUGGCAAAAAAUGGGCAAUAUUCAAAUCAAAAGACAAUGCUAAUAGGAUUGCGACGCCAAUAUAUCAAGCAGGGCGUAUAGUCUUAAGUUGAUACAAUUUUAUACGUUUAUAAAUUGUGUCAUUAAAACAUUAAACGGUACGAAUAACACUUAUGAAUGAAUAGAUUCAUUUGAUGCUCUACUGGCAGAGUAUGAAACUAUAUAGACUAUUGUUGACUGAACCAUUCUAAACAGUAUAUUGAGUGGUAUACCUACUCUUCCUCCCAGUAAUUUUCAAGAAAGUUAAAGAUUCUUAAUUGUUGCAGCUUGAAAAGCGAUAAACUAC